rnacentral:rRNA from 1 species
UGGGGAAUAUUGCACAAUGGGCGAAAGCCUGAUGCAGCGACGCCGCGUGAGGGAUGACGGCCUUCGGGUUGUAAACCUCUUUCAGUAGGGACGAAGCGCAAGUGACGGUACCUGCAGAAGAAGCACCGGCUAACUACGUGCCAGCAGCCGCGGUAGUACGUAGGGUGCGAGCGUUGUCCGGAAUUACUGGGCGUAAAGAGCUCGUAGGCGGUUUGUCACGUCGUCUGUGAAAUCCUAGGGCUUAACCCUGGACGUGCAGGCGAUACGGGCUGACUUGAGUACUACAGGGGAGACUGGAAUUUCUGGUGUAGCGGUGGAAUGCACAGAUAUCAGGAAGAACACCGAUGGCGAAGGCAGGUCUCUGGGUAGUAACUGACGCUGAGGAGCGAAAGCAUGGGUAGCGAACAGG